CCUCAACUCCUACACCGCACGGCAUCCUGCCCGUGCUGGGAAAUCAUGUCCCCACAACAGAAAAGCACGUGCCGCUCUGCUGGGGCUCUUCUUUCUUCAGCCUCCCCCUCCUCCUCCUCUCUCUGACCUACCACAGCACGCACCUUUCAUAUAAACUCUCCUGUCUGCCCGUUAUUUUGCAGUAACCUUCCUCAGCGGCUUUGAAGAGGAUGACCCGGGCGUUCUAAAUCACACCGCCAUCAUCAUCGUCGCAAACACUCUGACGCUCAUCGCUGCUGUGGUCGUCUUCACGUGCUGCGUUUGGCUUGCCUGCCGACUCAAGACCGGCAAAGAAAAGUAACUUUGAAAAGUCACCUCCCUUCCCAAGGGAUAGGUAGCAAAGCAGCUCCCCACGUGGGCAGGUCCCUAGCUUUAGCCACUCGCAGCAUGAGUCAGGCUCCACCCAGGGCAACUCCCUGGGAGCGCUGAACCUCCUGCUCCACACCUGGCGGACAGCACAAACAUGGGCACAAAGCCACAGCCAAGGGCUCACCUCCGUCCAGGUCUCGGCCACCCCUCGGAGCGGCCGGGAAGCCUACAGCUGCCCUCAACAGGCCCCCAAAUACAGAUGCUGAAGGACUUCCAGGCAUGACUCUUAAACGCGUUAAAUCCAACUAGCUAGCGCCCUUCGCUGGCGUCCUCUCUUGCCCUGCCGCUCUCGUGGCCAGGCAGAAGGAACAGCACAACUGCAAAGCGGCUUUUACGCAGCUGCACAAAGUGCUCCCCUUCAGCCUCCCUGUACUGUCAAGGCUUCCCAGAAAGCUCCCACGCUGGCACUUUCACCCCUUCUACAGGCGCCAUACCUGACCACAGACUCCCAGCCCUGCUAGUCUCGGAGGCGCUCUCCUUGGCAAACGGGACAAAGGACGCGUUCCCCACUAGGACGCGCAAAGGGCUUGGCUUUAGCCUACGGAAAGGCAACGCGCUGCUAGUCUUCCGCUCCAAAGGACAAGUAACACCUCUCUCUGCCGUUCCUAGGUCUCCAGAGAACGACGUCGAGGCAUCCGCUCUGCAGACCCUUGGCCACUGCCAGCAGCUUCCCACGAGCCUGCAGCGUGCCUGCUCCAGGUGUGCUUCCCCGAGCACAGCAAGCAUAGAGCUCUGCAGCACCUGGGACGAUGACGAGGACUGUCCAUACGGUGGCCUUUUUCUUCUCUCCCCGCCUCCUACGCCGGACUCGGACGACUUCAGCAGAAGCGCUUCUCUGGACAGGUACGCACCACCGCAAAAGCACAAGACACGUUUGGCAGAUUAUCCUGCACCCCUUUCAAGGGCACGCGGG
rnacentral:lncRNA from 1 species